rnacentral:rRNA from 1 species
AUUGAACGCUGGCGGCAGGCCUAACACAUGCAAGUCGAGCGGAUGAAGGGAGCUUGCUCCUGGAUUCAGCGGCGGACGGGUGAGUAAUGCCUAGGAAUCUGCCUGGCAGUGGGGGAUAACGUCCGGAAACGGGCGCUAAUACCGCAUACGUCCUGAUGGUGAAAGUGGGGGAUCUUCGGACCUCACGCUAUCAGAUGAGCCUAGGUCGGAUUAGCUAGUUGGUUGGGUAACGGCCUACCAAGGCGACGAUCCGUAACUGGUCUGAGAGGAUGAUCAGUCACACUGGAACUGAGACACGGUCCAGACUCCUACGGGAGGCAGCAGUGGGGAAUAUUGGACAAUGGGCGAAAGCCUGAUCCAGCCAUGCCGCGUGUGUGAAGAAGGUCUUCGGAUCGUAAAGCACUUUAAGUUGGGAGGAAGGGCAGUAAGUUAAUACCUUGCUGUUUUGACGGUACCAACAGAAUAAGCACCGGCUAACUACGUG